rnacentral:rRNA from 1 species
GACGAACGCUGGCGGCGUGCUUAACACAUGCAAGUCGAACGAUGAAGCGGUGCUUGCACCGUGGAUUAGUGGCGAACGGGUGAGUAAUACGUGAGUGACCUACCUUUGACUCUGGGAUAAGCCUGGGAAACUGGGUCUAAUACCGGAUACGACCAAUCUCUGCAUGGGGUGUUGGUGGAAAGCGUUAUGGAGUGGUUUUAGAUGGGCUCACGGCCUAUCAGCUUGUUGGUGAGGUAAUGGCUUACCAAGGCGACGACGGGUAGCCGGCCUGAGAGGGUGACCGGCCACACUGGGACUGAGACACGGCCCAGACUCCUACGGGAGGCAGCAGUGGGGAAUAUUGCACAAUGGGCGCAAGCCUGAUGCAGCGACGCCGCGUGAGGGAUGACGGCCUUCGGGUUGUAAACCUCUGUUAGCAUCGAAGAAGCGAAAGUGACGGUAGGUGCAGAGAAAGCGCCGGCUAACUACGUGCCAGCAGCCGCGGUAAUACGUAGGGCGCGAGCGUUGUCCGGAAUUAUUGGGCGUAAAGAGCUUGUAGGCGGUUGGUCGCGUCUGCUGUGAAGGCCGGGGCUUAACUCCGGUUUUGCAGUGGGUACGGGCUAACUAGAGUGCAGUAGGGGAGACUGGAAUUCCUGGUGUAGCGGUGGAAUGCACAGAUAUCAGGAGGAACACCGAUGGCGAAGGCAGGUCUCUGGGCUGUAACUGACGCUGAGAAGCGAAAGCAUGGGGAGCGAACAGGAUUAGAUACCCUGGUAGUCCAUGCCGUAAACGUUGGGCACUAGGUGUGGGGGACAUUCCACGUUUUCCGCGCCGUAGCUAACGCAUUAAGUGCCCCGCCUGGGGAGUACGGCCGCAAGGCUAAAACUCAAAGGAAUUGACGGGGGCCCGCACAAGCGGCGGAGCAUGCGGAUUAAUUCGAUGCAACGCGAAGAACCUUACCAGGGCUUGACAUGCAUUAGAUCGCGUCAGAGAUGGCGUUUCCCUUCGGGGCUGGUGUACAGGUGGUGCAUGGUUGUCGUCAGCUCGUGUCGUGAGAUGUUGGGUUAAGUCCCGCAACGAGCGCAACCCUCGUUCUAUGUUGCCAGCGGUUCGGCCGGGGACUCAUAGGAGACUGCCGGGGUCAACUCGGAGGAAGGUGGGGAUGACGUCAAAUCAUCAUGCCCCUUAUGUCUUGGGCUUCACGCAUGCUACAAUGGCCGGUACAGAGGGUUGCGAUACUGUGAGGUGGAGCUAAUCCCUUAAAGCCGGUCUCAGUUCGGAUUGGGGUCUGCAACUCGACCCCAUGAAGUCGGAGUCGCUAGUAAUCGCAGAUCAGCAACGCUGCGGUGAAUACGUUCCCGGGCCU